GCAUUGUUCCAGUGAGCAGAUAAACGCACUCCCUCCCAUUAAACUCUCAGAAAUUCACGGGGCAGAGGCAGAAAUGACUGAGGUCACCGUGUCCAACCUGGUUCAAGACAAGGAUUUUCAUCUGUUCGUAAAACGGAAUUUUGAUGAUCCUGAAUCAUCAUGUUUUAUAUAUAACUGUAGCAAGGAUACUAUUAAUAGUAUUAACAUUGAACAUCAUUUAAAUAUUCAGAAGGAUUUUGAACAUUUUGGGUAUAUUGUAACACAAAAAGAGGAAUCACUAUGUACAUCACAAUGUUUUUUUGCAUAUUCAACUAAAAAGUAUAUUUUGACAACGUACCACUCAAUUGGUAGUGACAGCAAUAUAUAUGCCUUCUUUCAAUCUAAACAUGAUAUCUUAAUUUACAAAAUUCGUCAACCACCCAUUUUCUCUUGCGGUGAAAUUGAUUAUGCAUUACUUGAGUUACCAAAAGAUAGUUUUAUCCCUUGGAAUAUGGGACUGUUAGAUCAAAUUGAUGGGAAACCGGAAAAGGACAAGUUAGUCCAUUUCAAUGCAUAUAGGACAUUAAAAACAGCUCAUUCAAUUGAGGCAAAUGUUAUUGAAACCCCCAUAAGAAUGAAAAAUUACAUAAAUAAAUCAGAAUUUUUAAUUAACAAAUAUGGAAUUGAAGGUGAUAGUGGUGCCCCAGUUUUCGACAAAAACAAAGUUGUGGGAAUGUACCGUGGAUUUAUUCAUCAUUUUGGACGGUGCAUUAACAUUAUUGACAUUGACCAAGAUAUUAAAAGAAAACAAAAAAAGCAAAGCAAACCGAGCCUCCUGAUCAGUUUAGUAACACAAAUUUCAUCAUGGUUAUUUAUCUAAAAAAAUGAAAAAGAACUUGAAAGUAAAGCAUUUCGAACUCUUUAGGACUGCAUCAAUUUUCUAAGAAAUAUGAUAAUAAUGUUAAAAAUAAAUAAAGAACUGGCGACUUGCCCAUGUAAAUAAGAGUGUGUAAAAAGUGAAAAUAAUGUGAGUGAAUGGUGUGUGGGUGAUUGAUUGGAGAUGUGACCAUGCCAACAACCACUUAUACCGCUUGUACAAAAUUUCACAUCAAAUUAAUAAGAGCAGAAGUUGGCAAAGAAAAAACUUGCAAAAGACCAGCCGUUGUACACCCUGGCACAUUCAUUUCUGCCUCUGGAAUUUCUCCAGAAGGACAACUUGCCCCCAUGUUUGCCUGCAUGAGAGAGAGAGAGGGUACUUUCAGCACAGCCUGGAUCUACUUCCAUGGAACCAAUGCGUUUGCCUGUGAGGACUGAACUUGUGGCAGUGACACCACUUUUGUGAGAAGCAACAAAGAGGAGAAAAUGCAAAACAAAGUGUGGAAUAUCCUGAAAAAGACCAAGCGCAUGACCUCACAGACCAAGCGGAUGACCUCACAGACCAAGCACAUGACCUCACAGACCAAGUGCAUGACCUCACAGACCAGGAUGACAACAUCGGGACCAGGCUGAGAACACGGAAGCAGGCUUAAAUGGGGAUAUGUUGUCCUUCUGCACCCCCCAAUAAAAACAAUAAAAGAUGAACUGAUA